AAGUCGUAACAAGGUUUCCGUAGGUGAACCUGCGGAAGGAUCAUUACCAAAUAAUCCAAUGGAUUUCAAAUCCAUUACCCACCCUUGUGAAACUGAACUGUUAUUCCCUGCAGAGCGAGUCCUCUCGUCUAAAUGAAUGACGACGAGCAAUGCAGGGGAGAUUUUAUAUUACACCUUUGUUGUUUGAUCUAGCAAUUUGUGCUGCAAAGCAAAAAAAAAGCUAUAACUAAAAACAACUUUCAACAACGGAUCUCUUGGCUCCCA
rnacentral:misc_RNA from 1 species